GGGUUGUGAGGUUAAGCGACUAAGCGUACACGGUGGAUGCCCUGGCAGUCAGAGGCGAUGAAGGACGUGCUAAUCUGCGAUAAGCGUCGGUGAGGUGAUAUGAACCGUUAUAACCGGCGAUUUCCGAAUGGGGAAACCCAGUGUGAUUCGUCACACUAUCAUUAACUGAAUCCAUAGGUUAAUGAGGCGAACCGGGGGAACUGAAACAUCUAAGUACCCCGAGGAAAAGAAAUCAACCGAGAUUCCCCCAGUAGCGGCGAGCGAACGGGGAGGAGCCCAGAGCCUGAAUCAGUGUGUGUGUUAGUGGAAGCGUCUGGAAAGGCGCGCGAUACAGGGUGACAGCCCCGUACACAAAAAUGCACAUACUGUGAGCUCGAUGAGUAGGGCGGGACACGUGGUAUCCUGUCUGAAUAUGGGGGGACCAUCCUCCAAGGCUAAAUACUCCUGACUGACCGAUAGUGAACCAGUACCGUGAGGGAAAGGCGAAAAGAACCCCGGCGAGGGGAGUGAAAAAGAACCUGAAACCGUGUACGUACAAGCAGUGGGAGCACAGAGCAAUCUGUGUGACUGCGUACCUUUUGUAUAAUGGGUCAGCGACUUAUAUUCUGUAGCAAGGUUAACCGAAUAGGGGAGCCGAAGGGAAACCGAGUCUUAACUGGGCGUUAAGUUGCAGGGUAUAGACCCGAAACCCGGUGAUCUAGCCAUGGGCAGGUUGAAGGUUGGGUAACACUAACUGGAGGACCGAACCGACUAAUGUUGAAAAAUUAGCGGAUGACUUGUGGCUGGGGGUGAAAGGCCAAUCAAACCGGGAGAUAGCUGGUUCUCCCCGAAAGCUAUUUAGGUAGCGCCUCGUGAAUUCAUCUCCGGGGGUAGAGCACUGUUUCGGCAAGGGGGUCAUCCCGACUUACCAACCCGAUGCAAACUGCGAAUACCGGAGAAUGUUAUCACGGGAGACACACGGCGGGUGCUAACGUCCGUCGUGAAGAGGGAAACAACCCAGACCGCCAGCUAAGGUCCCAAAGUCAUGGUUAAGUGGGAAACGAUGUGGGAAGGCCCAGACAGCCAGGAUGUUGGCUUAGAAGCAGCCAUCAUUUAAAGAAAGCGUAAUAGCUCACUGGUCGAGUCGGCCUGCGCGGAAGAUGUAACGGGGCUAAACCAUGCACCGAAGCUGCGGCAGCGACGCUUAUGCGUUGUUGGGUAGGGGAGCGUUCUGUAAGCCUGUGAAGGUGUGCUGUGAGGCAUGCUGGAGGUAUCAGAAGUGCGAAUGCUGACAUAAGUAACGAUAAAGCGGGUGAAAAGCCCGCUCGCCGGAAGACCAAGGGUUCCUGUCCAACGUUAAUCGGGGCAGGGUGAGUCGACCCCUAAGGCGAGGCCGAAAGGCGUAGUCGAUGGGAAACAGGUUAAUAUUCCUGUACUUGGUGUUACUGCGAAGGGGGGACGGAGAAGGCUAUGUUGGCCGGGCGACGGUUGUCCCGGUUUAAGCGUGUAGGCUGGUUUUCCAGGCAAAUCCGGAAAAUCAAGGCUGAGGCGUGAUGACGAGGCACUACGGUGCUGAAGCAACAAAUGCCCUGCUUCCAGGAAAAGCCUCUAAGCAUCAGGUAACAUCAAAUCGUACCCCAAACCGACACAGGUGGUCAGGUAGAGAAUACCAAGGCGCUUGAGAGAACUCGGGUGAAGGAACUAGGCAAAAUGGUGCCGUAACUUCGGGAGAAGGCACGCUGAUAUGUAGGUGAGGUCCCUCGCGGAUGGAGCUGAAAUCAGUCGAAGAUACCAGCUGGCUGCAACUGUUUAUUAAAAACACAGCACUGUGCAAACACGAAAGUGGACGUAUACGGUGUGACGCCUGCCCGGUGCCGGAAGGUUAAUUGAUGGGGUUAGCGGUAACGCGAAGCUCUUGAUCGAAGCCCCGGUAAACGGCGGCCGUAACUAUAACGGUCCUAAGGUAGCGAAAUUCCUUGUCGGGUAAGUUCCGACCUGCACGAAUGGCGUAAUGAUGGCCAGGCUGUCUCCACCCGAGACUCAGUGAAAUUGAACUCGCUGUGAAGAUGCAGUGUACCCGCGGCAAGACGGAAAGACCCCGUGAACCUUUACUAUAGCUUGACACUGAACAUUGAGCCUUGAUGUGUAGGAUAGGUGGGAGGCUUAGAAGUGUGGACGCCAGUCUGCAUGGAGCCGACCUUGAAAUACCACCCUUUAAUGUUUGAUGUUCUAACGUUGACCCGUAAUCCGGGUUGCGGACAGUGUCUGGUGGGUAGUUUGACUGGGGCGGUCUCCUCCUAAAGAGUAACGGAGGAGCACGAAGGUUGGCUAAUCCUGGUCGGACAUCAGGAGGUUAGUGCAAUGGCAUAAGCCAGCUUGACUGCGAGCGUGACGGCGCGAGCAGGUGCGAAAGCAGGUCAUAGUGAUCCGGUGGUUCUGAAUGGAAGGGCCAUCGCUCAACGGAUAAAAGGUACUCCGGGGAUAACAGGCUGAUACCGCCCAAGAGUUCAUAUCGACGGCGGUGUUUGGCACCUCGAUGUCGGCUCAUCACAUCCUGGGGCUGAAGUAGGUCCCAAGGGUAUGGCUGUUCGCCAUUUAAAGUGGUACGCGAGCUGGGUUUAGAACGUCGUGAGACAGUUCGGUCCCUAUCUGCCGUGGGCGCUGGAGAACUGAGGGGGGCUGCUCCUAGUACGAGAGGACCGGAGUGGACGCAUCACUGGUGUUCGGGUUGUCAUGCCAAUGGCACUGCCCGGUAGCUAAAUGCGGAAGAGAUAAGUGCUGAAAGCAUCUAAGCACGAAACUUGCCCCGAGAUGAGUUCUCCCUGACUCCUUGAGAGUCCUGAAGGAACGUUGAAGACGACGACGUUGAUAGGCCGGGUGUGUAAGCGCAGCGAUGCGUUGAGCUAACCGGUACUAAUGAACCGUGAGGCUUAACCUUACAACGCCGAAG
rnacentral:rRNA from 1 species